rnacentral:lncRNA from 1 species
CGCCCGCGCUGCCCUCCUCCCCGGGCCGCAGGCUGAGAGGCUGGGCCGCACUCUGGCCACGCUUUGUCCGGCUUUAGCGGGAUACCAGAGGCACUCGUUAAGGCAAAUGCAUCCCUGCAAACCCAUUCUCGCCCUGACACUUUAAGGCUUUAUAUAGAAACAGGAUUUGCUCGUCUUACACCAGCAGUCCCUAUUAACGCUCGCCCGGCGCACACACCACUCUAAUCCGCGAGGCCGCGGCGUACCCUGGUCCCCUCCCCCCGCCACAACAGCCGUUUUGUUUCCGCAGAAAGCGCCUCGUUGUCCCAGCCCCGGAACGUCUUAGGGAGGUGAAUGCAGAAUGCAGAAAAGAGGUUUCCGUGGAAUUUAGAUCUGCAGGAGGGGGCGGGGGAGGGUGGCGAGGCGCGGAAAGGCUUUAAUUUCAG